rnacentral:ncRNA from 1 species
ACUUCCGAGGAGCGUUGCAACUCACAUGAUGGCUGUUUUGUCACCAUGCUGAGUGAGGCUCGGACCCCGCUGUUGUUUUUUGCACAGCGUUUCACAACGGCGCUCACCCACC